rnacentral:tRNA from 1 species
GGGUGCGUAGCGAAGUUGGAUAUCGCGUGUCCCUCCGGAGGAUAAGGUCGUGGGUUCGAAUCCCGCCGCACUCA